rnacentral:ncRNA from 1 species
CCUACUAGACUUGUAACCAACACCCGGCACAACCCGCCGGGUGGUGACCCGAGGAGC